GAUUUUGGCACGGUUCAAUC
rnacentral:miRNA from 1 species